UAGGGGGGCUCAUGAGCAAUAAGCGUGUCCCAGCCAGGUGUUUGAACAGCUGGCUGAGUCUGGACCCGAGGGCGCUUGACAGGAAGCCAGAGAAGAAGAAAACAACUCAGCAACAAACAGAGAGGCAGAGUGCAGGUGAUGGACGAAAGAAGGCUGGAAGGAUCCACGCACCUGCUUGUUACAGGAGGGAUUUGCUGGUCUAAGCACAUUUCGGGGGGUCUCUGUGUUUGGAAUGCAACGGUGCAGCUCGAGCUUCGCUGAGGUGGCCAGGCUUCUUUGGGCCCUUUGUGUGUGUGGUCCUUACCAGGGUGGCAACCGCACGGCUUGAGUCCGUCCUUUGUGGCGGCCCACCUGCUGCUUUUGGGAUUCGCCGUGCCGCACUCUCUCCUGCUGCCAGGCCGCCCCUCCCUUCUCAAUGAGAGACGUCGAAACUAAAUAUUUACACAAGGAACUGCUGGAAUGCAGGGCUGUUGUAACUGUAGGCUGUUCAAAACCAUGUUGAAAUAAUAGCCAGAGGUGUUUAGACUCAUCAGAGAACCUGAGCAGGGUACCUUUGAUGUGGCUGUGAAUACCGUUUUGUUAAAUCAGCUGAAGAACGUUCCUCUCAUUUGAUUGAGAGUCUAUCCGGUGUUGCUGUUGAACAAUAUAUUGUGCUUGUGGCUUUACAACUUUAUUUGUUUUUGGGAAUGAAAUAUUUGAAACUGUGCAACUGUGCGACUGAUUGUAUUUUGUCGGAUACUUGGUUUCCAUU